UAAACAAGGACCAGAUAACAAAAGGAGACCAAUCCAUUAUUAUUUCAUCAAAUUUUUAAAACAGUAAUACAGUACAUUCAUUGAGAUAUAUAUAUGGAAAGUGUGAACCAUCUCUUCCUGUUUAAAGGGAAAUCACAAACCAAAAGCCCAGCCAUCUCCCCAAAUGUGUCCUCCCCACUGAAAUCACAGGCAACGCCAUGGAAAGGCCUUUCCAAAGCCUGCCAGCCUCCUCUUGUAUUCUGCAGAAACUAGUUGCUCCCGGUGUACAUGCCUGGAACUGAGUGGCAGCCAUGACACAGACACAAGAGAAGGUGCUUGGUUUGUAAGUCCCCUUUAAGCAGCUGUCCUCCUGCCUAUGUCCUGAAUGUAUGGCGUAUGGAGCAUUCGGUGUGCCAAGGUGGAUGAGAACAGACUGCUAGUCCUUGCUACCGUGCAGUUACUUUGUUCCUGGUUUCCAAUGGCUACCUCCCACCUUUGACUUCCCACUGCAGCUUGGUUUGUUUACACUUGGGCACGCUGGGUAGUUAGUACCAUCCCUCUGCCAGGCUGUUAAAGGCUGAUUCUGAUAUCAAUUUCCAGUGAGCUACCCUGAAAUGUUUCCUUAGAAGUACCCUUAUUCCACGCUCCACUUCACAGGGCUCAGGAUUAUCCGGCUACCUUCUCUCCCUCUAAAUUCCAGGUGUGAUCUGCUGCCAGCCCCUCGCGAACAGCAACAGUAUUGACAGUUUGUCCUGACGUUCUUGCAUUUGGUAUGGGAAACUGAUGGACUAUGAAAAAUAUCCUGUGGGGAAGGGCAGUAAGAAUGAAAUCUAUGCCAAGGACAUGCAACUUAAGAGUACUUUCAAAAAAAAAAAAAAGUAAGAUCUUUAAAUAAAUGAAAAAUAAACUAUGCUUAAGACAGCGUUAUGAGGACCACCCUCUUUCUAUGGUGAAUUUUGAACAAGGCAGAACAACAGCUAGAUGAUCUAUUUCCCUGAAGCAAGAGAGGAGUUAGCUUUCCCCCAGGCAAACUGAUCGAAAUGAUCAUUAUUUAUUAAUGAAAGGAAGAGGCAAAUUGGUGAAGUAAGUUGAUCGAGGACAUGGUGGGUGACACACACCAAUGGCAGUACUAGGACUGCUUUAAAACUGAGAUAAACAAGCUGGACUGUGACACAUCACUGUUUCAGAGAGAGGGGAUACAAAGUACCCCGAGUGAAUCUCAUCUCUCCUACACAGGUGGUGAGUUUAAAAUGACAGUCUCCCUUACAGUUAUACAAACACAACAAUCACAGGAAUAGGAAGCUAAAUAAAUAGUGUGUGGCUGUCUUUAGAUGAGACCUUUAAUGUUCUUUAAAUAAUUUUUGAUAAUGUCUUUUAAAUCAUUACAUACAAGUGCCAUUGCAGUGGCAAUAUUCCAGUAGGGCAGCAUUUUGCUAAAUGUAAAAGAUUGCCAUUUAGAACUCAUACAUAUACACGUGUAUGUACAGUUAUAUCAACACUAUUUAUAUACAUAUAUAUCUAGAGAGCAACAUUUCAUUGCCUUUGAAUAUCUCUAUGUCCACUCCCACAAUAUAUCCUGGAGACAUACUGUGUGAGUAUAUACCAAAGUGUAUGUACACAUGCGCCAACAUGUAUAUAUACACUUCUGUGUGUGCAUAAGAGCUUUAAAGGCACGAUAUAGAAGGGUGCAAGUUUUCUAGAGAGCUGCAGCAGAGUUAAAACUGAAUGUCACAACUGUGAGAGAAGUCAAAAGGAAAUCUAGCAGAAUUAUUACACAAGAACUCAUUAGAGCAUUUCAUCAUGAGAAACAAGAGUCAGUUAUAGAAUUCAAGAGGCUUCCAUGUGACUCUGUGUACUUUGUUAAAAUUCAAGUGGUAAAUGGUUAUAUUUAAAACACAAAGCAAAUCAAACUCUUUAAAUGAUAAGUGUGGAAAUACACCUAACACUAAUAUCAAUCAUAAAGUCAUAAUUACAUUUUUCAAUGUAAAUAAAAUACUCCAAAGUUACCUAGGUUAAGAAAUUGAGAAUUAAGUUUUUGAACAUUGGCUUUUUAUUUUUGAUGACUACCCAAUUCUCAGAGAAAACAUAAUUGAAAGCUGUAUACCGUGGGGAAGUGUCGUUGGUAAGGCCUGAGUGACAGCUGACACAUUCAUGCCCAGGUGUCUAGUGAGAGAGCUAAAUCAUCCCAAGGACGUGGCUUCUCACAUGCCCAGCACAGGGCCACCUCAGGAGCCAAUCUCCAGCACUUGGACAACAGACAACUUGGCAAAGAUGUGUGAUUGUUAAGUAAUGAGAGAAUAGCUAGCAGAAAUCUGAGAAAGAAGAGUUCAAAGAUUGGUUUGUGAGCACUAAUCUGUAAUCGUGACUGUAAUCCAAAGGGUUCCCACGUCAGCAUGCUUGGUGAUGUGCUCUACACUGUGGCCAUUUCCACUGGCUGGCAGAAUAACCCAGAAUUCCCACAGAUGCAUAAUCUUGCUUAGCAAGGGCUGUUAAUCUAUUACACACACACAUUUUAGGGAAAUAUAUGUAUAUAGCUUUAUCUAUACACACACAUAUACAUACGUGUAUAUAUAGAUUUAUACAAAUGUAUAAAUAAACAUAAUACUUUUUCAAUCUUUCCAUUGACAAGGCAAGUUCACAUUCAGCAAAGUGCCACCACAUCCCAUAUACACAUCUCUGUACAGAUAUACACAAAGGGUCUGUUUUCACCCUUCAAUAAGGGGGAAUUGAUUCUAGCAAAUUCCAUUAACCAGCAACUGAAGGGAGAAAUGGCAUCAGUACAAACUCCCUUCUUUCGCUUGCAUGCAUAUGUACAAGAAAUAUGCAGGUUUCUUAAAAUCUGAAAGCAAGAGUGAAUGAAACAGGGAGAUGCUACAAAAACACAAGUGUGAAAAACAACAUGGAGAGCUUGCCUGGGUUUUGUCUGGAUCUAAGAUGAAGUAACUGAGGCCCCAAAGACAACUACCAAUUCAAGUGUGUUCCUGGGAGUUGCCCUGGCAUUUCUAAGUACAGCGCCUUCAUAUUAAAGUAAGUGUGAUGGAGCACUUGGCCC
rnacentral:lncRNA from 1 species